rnacentral:lncRNA from 1 species
GAGAAGUCUGACUGUGACCUAAGCUGCCUGCGGGGAAGGCCGGGAAGCCGGCAGAGGCGGGUGGAUCCAGUGUGGCGCCUGCUCCCACCCAGGGGCUCUGUCCAGAUGGAACAGAGUGUGCCGAAGGAAGGAGUCAUCAGAGGCCGGCUCAGCUCUGGAGCAGGUUUCCCGAGAAGCUUUGAAGAGGCAGAGGUUACGUGGAUGCGGUGGCCCUGGACAGGGGGUGAGCCAGCCCCGUCCCAGCCUUGACCCCGCUGGUGGCGUGGACCAGGCACGAGGUGAACCCAUCUACCUGGGAUUCCUUAUUCCUAACUGGGACCUGGACCUGCCAACCUAGCCAACCUCAAAGGGUCAUUGUGGAGAUGAAAUCAGCCCCAUCCAGUGUCCAAAGUUGCUUUGUAAACUGUAAAGUGCUGUACAUGGGUAAGGCUUUGGUAUUAGGAGCUGAAGAAAGCGUCCCGCACCACCAAAAGCAGUCAGUGAGGCUAGAAACACUCCCUUGCAUGGGAAUACCAC